GAUGAACGCUAGCGGCAGGCCUAACACAUGCAAGUCGAGGGGUAACUUGAUUGAUAGCAAUAUUAAUUAAGCUAGACCGGCGCACGGGUGCGUAACACGUAUGCAAUCUACCUUAUACAGGGGCAUAACUUCGAGAAAUUGAUGCUAAUUCCCCAUAACACUUUGAUGUGGCAUCACAUUACAGUUAAAGCUCAGGCGGUAUAAGAUGAGCAUGCGUCCAAUUAGCUAGUAGGCGAGGUAACGGCUCACCUAGGCUACGAUUGGUAGGGGUUCGUGGAGGAUGAUCCCCCACACUGGUACUGAGACACGGACCAGACGCCUACGGGAGGCAGCAGUGAGGAAUAUUGCGCAAUGGACGAAAGUCUGACGCAGCCAUGCCGCGUGAAGGAUUGAAGGCCCUAUGGGUUGUAAACUUCUUUUGUACGGGAAUAAACGCUCCCUCGUGAGGGAGCCUGAAGGUACCGUAAGAAUAAGCACCGGCUAACUCCGUGCCAGCCGCCGCGGUAACAC
rnacentral:rRNA from 1 species